rnacentral:rRNA from 1 species
AGCAGCAGCCGCGGGAAUACGGAGGGUGCAAGCGUUAAUCGGAAUAACUGGGCGUAAAGCGCACGCAGGCGGUUUGUUAAGUCAGAUGUGAAAUCCCCGAGCUUAACUUGGGAACUGCAUUUGAAACUGGCAAGCUAGAGUCUUGUAGAGGGGGGUAGAAUUCCAGGUGUAGCGGUGAAAUGCGUAGAGAUCUGGAGGAAUACCGGUGGCGAAGGCGGCCCCCUGGACAAAGACUGACGCUCAGGUGCGAAAGCGUGGGGAGCAAACAGGAUUAGAUACCCGCGUAGUCCCUGUCUCUUAUAC